AGAGUUUGAUCCUGGCUCAGGAUGAACGCUGGCGGCGUGCUUAAUACAUGCAAGUCGAACGGAGAGUUUUGUAGUAAUACGAAGCUUCUCAGUGGCGAACGGGCGAGUAACGAGUUGGUGACCUGCCCCGAAGUGUGGGAUAACAGUCCGAAAGGAUUGCUAAUACCGCAUGUGAUCAUCGGUUUUAGAAUCUGAUGAUUAAAGCAGUAAUGCGCUUCGGGAGGGACCUGCUUCCCAUCAGCUAGUUGGUGAGGUAAUGGCCCACCAAGGCUACGACGGGUAAGGGACCUGAGAGGGUGGUCCCUCGCAAUGGCACUGAAACACGGGCCAUACACCUACGGGUGGCAGCAGUAGGGAAUAUUGGGCAAUGGGCGAAAGCCUGACCCAGCAACGCCGCGUGCACGAUGAAGGCCUUCGGGUCGUAAAGUGCUUUUCUGAGGGAUGAGUAAGGACAGUACCUCAGGAAUAAGCCUCGGCUAACUACGUGCCAGCAGCCGCGGUAAAACGUAGGAGGCAAGCGUUAUCCGGAUUUACUGGCGUAAAGCGUGUGCAGGUGGUUCGGCAAGUUGGAUGUGAAAGCUCCUGGCUUAACUAGGAGAGGUCGUUCAAUACUACCGAACUUGAGGGCAUCAGAGGAAGGUGGAAUUCCCGGUGUAGUGGUGAAAUGCGUAGAUAUCGGGAGGAACACCAGUGGCGAAGGCGGCCUUCUGGGAUGUUCCUGACACUCAUACACGAAAGCUAGGGUAGCGAACGGAAUUAGAGACCCCAGUAGUCCUAGCAGUAAACGAUGUAGACUUGGUGUCGGAGGUGUCAAAACCUUCGGUAUCGUAGCUAACGCGAUAAGUCUACCGCCUGGGGACUACGGCCGCAAGGUUAAAACUCAAAGGAAUUGACGGGGGCCCGCACAAGCAGCGGAGCGUGUGGUUUAAUUCGAUUUGCACGAAGAACCUUACCCAGGUUUGACAUGUUGGUGGUAGGAAUCCGAAAGGUGACCGACCCGCAAGGGAGCCUUCACAGGUGCUGCAUGGCUGUCGCCAGCUCGUGUCGUGAGAUGUUCGGUUAAGUCCGCUAACGAGCGCAACCCUCGCCGUAUGUUACAUGUGUCAUGCGGGACCGCCAGUAUCAAGCCGGAGGAAGGUGGGGAUGACGUCAAGUCAGCAUGGCCUUUAUAUCUGGCGCUACACACACGCUACAAUGGCCGGUACAAUGGGUCGCUAAGCCGCGAGGUAGAGCCAAUCCCUCAAAGCCGGUCUCAGUUCAGAUCACAGGCUGCAACCCGCCUGUGUGAAGUUGGAGUUGCUAGUAAACGCGCGUCAGCUAUAGUGCGUUGAAUACGUUCUCGGGCCUUGUACACACCGCCCGUCACGUCAUG
rnacentral:rRNA from 1 species